UCUGGUUGAUCCUGCCAGUAGUGAUAUGCUUGUUUCAAAGAUUAAGCCAUGCAUGUCUAAGUAUAAGCGAACUUAUACAGUGAAACUGCGGAUGGCUCAUUAAAACAGUUUGAAUUUAUUUGAUGAAUGUAUGAGAAUACUACUUGGAUAACCGUAGUAAUUCUAGAGCUAAUACAUGCAACGACGCCCGACCGUUUCACUACGGAAGGGCUGUAUUUAUUGGAUACCAAAACCAUCCUUCCCUCGGGAAGUUUUGUUUGAUGAUUCACAAUAACUGAUCGGAUCGCCACUGUGGUGGCGACAGGUCAUUCAACAUUCUGCCCUAUCAGCUUUCGAUGGUUGUGUAGUGGACAACCAUGGCCAUAACGGGUAACGGAGAAUCAGGGUUCGAUUCCGGAGAAGGAGCUUGAGAAUUGGCUACUACAUCUAAGGAAGGCAGCAGGCGCGCAAAUUACCCAAUCCCGAUUCGGGGAGGUAGUGACAAAAAAUAACAAUACCGGGCCUUUUUGGGCUUGGUAAUUGGAAUGAGGGAGAGUUAAACGGACCAUCGAUUAUCCAUUGGAGGGCAAGUCUGGUGCCAGCAGCUGCGGUAAUACCAGCUCCAAUAGCGUAUAUUAAAGUUGUUGCAGUUAAAAAGCUCGUAGUUGGACUUGUGUGCGCUGUCCGCGGGUGGCCUGCGCCCAAAAGGGCGUUUCGGUUCGGCCCCGGUGGCGCCUUGAAAUCUGCAGCUGGGGGGACGUUGGCCUUAACUGGUCGGCGACCGCACGCCGGCUGCUCGGUUACUGUGAGAAAAUUAGAGUGUUCAAGGCAGGCAUUGGGUGCAAUUGAAUACAUUAGCAUGGAAUAAUAAAAUAUGGCUCCUGCCGUAUUUUGUUGGUUUUGACUGGUGGGAGUAAUGAUUGAUAGGGACGGUUGGGGGUGCUAGUAUUGAGCGGCCAGAGGUGAAAUUCAUGGAUUCGCUCAAGACUAACUUAUGCGAAAGCAUUCACCAAGGACGUCCUCUUUAAUCAAGAACGAAAGUUGGGGGAUCGAAGACGAUCAGAUACCGUCGUAGUCUCAACCAUAAACUAUGUCGACUUGGGAUCGGCGGUAGUUUUUUCAUUAAGACACUGUCGGGACCACGGGAGAAAUCAAAGUGUCUGGACUCUGGGGGAAGUAUGGUCGCAAGGCUGAAACUUGAAGGAAUUGACGGAAGGGCACCACCAGGAGUGGAGCCUGCGGC
rnacentral:rRNA from 1 species